GCGGGUUUAGCUCAGUUGGGAGAGCGUCAGACUGAAGUCAAACUUCGAUCAAUAUCACUCGACAUCUGAAGGUCAUGUGUUCGAUCCACAUAAACCGCA
rnacentral:tRNA from 1 species